ensembl:lncRNA
GAGGAUUAUAGCUGUGUUGAGUAACCCAGAAUAAGUUGUUACAUUUCUCCAAGCUUAUUUACUAAUUUAUAAAAUGACCCUCUGCCUUCCUUUCUCUGCAGGUGAGCCACAAAUAUCAUUUUCCACAUGAAGAUGCCUCUGUCCCAGAGCUGAACAAGUACCUGGAGCCAGAAGACUCUGAAGAGAUGGUUUUGAAAAAGAAGGUUCGUCUCCUUUCCCCUUGUCCACUUUUGGGUUCUUUGGACAUGGAAAUGUUUGCCAAGAGAAAAGAUGGCUGGUGGAGACCCCGGGAGAUACUUGCAUAUGUAUGUGAAAUGAUGAUGGCCUUUCAGCUCAAUGUAAAGGAGACAUUUCUUUACAGCAAUUCUGAUCCAGGUGAGAGUGCACUUCCUUUGGAAAUGUGUCUUCUGUCACUAGGGGUGUUGAGGACCAUACUUGGCAGCUUGGAAAGGAAUCCUGAGAAGGCAUUCAAACUUCAAAAGGGGGCAGGGGUGUAUCAGACGCCAUUACGUUCUUCUCCAGCCCCACGGGGCUAUAAUUCAUUUGCUUCAAUCAAG